GAUCAUGGCUCAGGAUGAACGCUAGCUACAGGCUUAAACACAUGCAAGUCGAGGGGCAGCAUGAACUUAGCUUGCUAAGUUUGAUGGCGACCGGCGCACGGGUGAGUAACGCGUAUCCAACCUGCCCUUUACGCGGGGAUAGCCUUCUGAAAGGAAGUUUAAUACCCGAUGAAUUCGUUUAGUCGCAUGGCUUGAUGAAGAAAGAUUUAUCGGUGUACGAUGGGGAUGCGUUUCAUUAGGUAGUAGGCGGGGUAACGGCCCACCUAGUCUUCGAUGGAUAGGGGUUCUGAGAGGAAGGUCCCCCACAUUGGAACUGAGACACGGUCCAAACUCCUACGGGAGGCAGCAGUGAGGAAUAUUGGUCAAUGGGCGAGAGCCUGAACCAGCCAAGUAGCGUGAAGGACUAAGGCCCUACGGGUCGUAAACUUCUUUAGACGCAGAGCAAUAAGGUCCACGCGUGGACCGAUGAGAGUAUGCGUAGAAUAAGCAUCGGCUAACUCCGUG
rnacentral:rRNA from 1 species